ensembl:miRNA Mir1291 microRNA 1291
AGAAUAAGGGUGAGGGAGGUUACCGAUGGCUCUCACUGAAGACUAACAGUUCUACUGUAGCUGUUGGUUUCAAGCAGACGCCUAGAGAACUGUCUUCCUGUGGUUUAUUAGCUAC